UACGAAGGGUGCAAGCGUUACUCGGAAUUACUGGGCGUAAAGCGUGCGUAGGUGGUUCGUUAAGUCUGAUGUGAAAGCCCUGGGCUCAACCUGGGAAUGGCAUUGGAUACUGGCGACCUAGAGUGCGGUAGAGGGGUGUGGAAUUCCCGGUGUAGCAGUGAAAUGCGUAGAUAUCGGGAGGAACAUCUGUGGCGAAGGCGACACCCUGGACCGCACUGACACUGAGGCACGAAAGCGUGGGGAGCAAACAGG
rnacentral:rRNA from 1 species